UACAGAGGGUGCAAGCGUUGCUCGGAUUUACUGGGCGUAAAGAGCGCGCAGGCGGUCGUUCAAGUCGAGUGUGAAAGCCCCCGGCUCAACUGGGGAGGGUCAUUCGAUACUGAUCGACUCGAAGGCAGGAGAGGGAAGUGGAAUUCCCGGUGUAGUGGUGAAAUGCGUAGAUAUCGGGAGGAACACCAGUGGCGAAGGCGACUUCCUGGCCUGUUCUUGACGCUGAGGCGCGAAAGCUAGGGGAGCAAACGGG
rnacentral:rRNA from 1 species